rnacentral:lncRNA from 1 species
CUUGAAUGUAUUUUUAUUUAAUUCAAUUUUACUGCCAAUAACAGGAUAACAAAAACAUAAGAUAAAUUUGACAAUAUUUACAAGAUGUGCCUUUGAAUUCUAUUACAAAGAUAUUCAACAAAUUUUGCUUUACACCCUUAUGUAUGUCUUUGUGCUAAUUUUUCAUCAUACUUUGUAAUACAGUCAAUAGCAAUUUAACAAUAAAAUAUCAACAAAAUAAUUUUAAAAUAUAUGUUCACAUUUGAAGAUUUUUUCUUUUUUUUUUUACAAGCUUGGUUAUCAUUUUAAUUUAACAAGAGUAAUGGAGGUUUUACUUUUUCUUAGGCUGGGUCAAACGAGGAUGAGAGUGCACGAGAGUUGGCACUAGUCACGUGACCAACCUUGCUUAAGCCUUGUUUCCAUAUGGUCGUAACAAUAGAGUCACGAUCUGUCUCAACAGCAAGUUUAUAAUAGUUUAUAUCUGUAAACCACAUAUAAAUCAUGAGUAUUCUCUAGUUAUUAUCACUUUUCAUGAGAAAGAUCGUGACUCAAUCUUUACGACCAUAUUGGAAACCCGGCUUUAGUAACAUUUCUUAUCUUUUAUUGUUUUCUCAACACAAUCCGGCGUACCCAUAGUACGAGAUUGUUCCCAACACUGUCAUGCAUUUUAUUUAAGUUGAAACAUAAAUUCAGUAUGAAGUGUUAAACUGACAAUAGUUGGAAAAACUCAAAUUUUUUAUUUGUCAAACUAGAGAUUGAAACAUCCUUCGCAACAAAUUUAAGUUCAAAAUAGUGCUAGAAAGAGCUUGAAAUGUCUCCGUAAUAAUGCGUGAACGCAAACUUUCAUCUACUCUAAUUCUCGUUUGGCAAGAACUCUGUUAUCAGUAACAAUGUAAAACAAGUGUAGCUCAAUAAUAAAUAAGCAAAGAAAAGAAAUAUUAUUGCAUUAAUAUAUAACAAAUUGUGAAAGUUACAGAGAAUACACCAUUGUGCUUACACACAACAAGACAUGAAAAAAGACGUAUUAUGGGGUGUUUUCAAUUCAAAACUAAUGUUAUUUCGAAAGUGUGCAUUAUAUAUACGCCGUAUCUUGUUAAUUUUCUGCUGAAGAUGAAUUGGAAUGGAUUCAAAAUAUUUUUUUAAAAUAGAUGUGUUGUUAAAAUGCACACUUUUUCAGAAUAACACUAGUUUUAUGUUUUCUGAAACUAUCGGUUUAAUAUUUUAAUAAUAUCUAUAAAUAUAUUUUAAUAAACUAUCGGUAUAAAUAUAUUUCAAUAUAUUAAAAUAAAAAAUGCUCAAGUAAACGUUGACCAAAACUAUCGACAGUUAACAUAUGUGGAUUUCGUCAACAACAAUCAUUUGUCGUAAUUACGUCAAGACAACGUUGGAAGUUGAUUUACAAGUCAUCAAUUGAAAGACAAAAUGGGCAAAUACAGUGAGCUCUAUAUAUAUCUGGAGUAAGAACUUCAGUCAUUCGGCCUAUGAGAGAGGUGAAGCCAAGAUGGCGGCCAUUGACGUCCAAUAGCUCUGAAGGUCGCAAACAGUUUUUAUACCAUUUUCCCAGCUAAUUCCAGUUUUUUCUAAUGAAUCGUAUCACUAAUCAAGUUUUCAGUUCGUAAAAUCACAAUAUUAUUCUUUAAAUCGAAGUCAAAAUACGAAAUUUCAACACACUCCUUGCCAAGAUUGCGAAAAUUGAAGGAGCUCUUGGACGUCAGUUACAGUCCCUUUCUAUUGUUUUUGUCUGCGCGGUUAACACGAAACUGGCUUCACUUUGAGCAACCAAGUUCCUACUCCAGAUAUAUAUAUGGAGCUCACUGGGCAAAUAUAAGGAUCGAAACGUUCUAGGACUAGGUUUUACUUUAGUAUGUGGAUGAAAAUUUCGGGUGUAAAUUUCACAUAUUUCGUUACACAGGCAUCACCCCUUAGUAUAAUGAAUUUGCGCGUUUAAAAGCUCGACAACUAGACUCAAACAGUUCACUAGAUUGGUCAGAGCGCUGCGAUGGAAUCAGUAGGACUGCAGGAUCGAUACCUGCUCCUGGUCCGAAAAUGUACAAAAAUUAGAGUGAAUGAAGGAGAAAAUGCUAGUAAUUGAAAUUAUUUUAGUCGAGAUGUUUCGUAUCUAAAAUAAUUUGGUACCAACAUGUCCUUUCCCGUGAUGUAUAUGCAUGCAGUACAUAUAAAUUCCAUGGUAAAAUAUCUAUUAUAUAAUUUUCAAUGAACAAGGGGGAUUUGAAUGGGAACGAGUUAAAAAGAAGUCGGAAAAUCAUCAUAGCUCUCUGAUACCUCUUGGUAAAUUAUGAAUGCUCCCUUGGAAUAUAUAUCGAGAAAUGCAAUAGUACACACGUUUAUUAUUUUGCAACUUUGAGACAAACAUUGCAGCUUAACGGGUAAUAUGUUCUGUUCUAUUGUAAGGUGGAAUUCUACAUUAGCGAUGAGAUGAGGACAAAAGAAUGAGGUCAUCAUUAACAGUUCCGAUCAGGACCAACAGUAAGAAAGAGGUCAUCAUUUUCAGUUCCGAUAAAGGCAAAAAGAAAGAGGUCAUCAUUAUAAGUUCCGAUGAAGACCAAUAUAUAUAUAUAUAUUUUACCAAGCUACCAUUGACAUGUAUCUAUAUCUAUGUUAUUUGAUAAGAGUGGCCUGUGGCCCGAUACGGAGAAAUCUCAGACAACACAGACAUGGCAACACUCGACGAAAACCAGUGGGUGCAUGAGCGACACCCGAGGUCCGUAACGUUUUACGUCAAAUAUUCAUACCAUGCAAUAAAGAACAAUCACCUCGCAUUCACCAUACUGUAUUACAGACUUUACAAAGUUGCGAUUCAUUAUUUUACCAUCAGUAUAUAUCACCGACUAUAUUUUAUAAAUAUUUCUGCACACAAGCCAACAGGACAUCUGCACAAUACGAUGCAUCAUUUUCCCAAUGUCUUCCAACAAUUAUUGUUGUGUAACGGAGUGAUAAGUUUUAUCCGAUGAGGAGCAAAAGAUCUUUAACAGUUCCGAUGAGGACCAAAAAACGACGUCAUCAUUAACAAUUCCGAUGAAGACCAUUUUGAAAGAGGUCAUCAUCAGUUCCGAUGAAGACCAACAAUAUAUAUAUUGGAGAUGUACAUAGCAUGUUAAAGAAGAGAAGAAAGAAAGAGAGGUAAAAUGAUAAAAAAACAAUAACAAAUACACUGAAGCGAGCUUUCAAUUUUUACUGAUAAAUGUCGAAUUACUUGCUAGAUCCAAUAACAAAUACAAACAUUCACUUUAUUGCAAAACUAUAUAUAGCAUGUCAAAGAAGAGAAGGAAAGGGAGAUCAUAGUGAUAAGUUGACGAGGACCAACAGAGAAAGAUAAAAAAUAGGAAAACAAUAACAAAUACAAGACAAGCUUUGAUUUUGUACUUGUAAAACGUACACUAUUUUGCAACUUAACAGGACAUCUGCGCAAUACCAUCCUUUUUCCUAUGGCUUCCAACAAUUGUUGUGUAACGGAGUAAUAGCUUUUAUCCGAUGAGGACCAAAAGAUCCACGAAACCGCGAAAGAAGGUGCUCAAAUUUGGCAUUAAUUUUAUUUAGGAUUUUGUUGUGACAAUUUAUGUAGGAGUCGCAUUUAUAUACAUUAUCGAUGCCUAAUAAUUUUAAUAUCUUCCAGGAAAAAAUGUUAUAAAUAAAAAAGAACUGGUGAAAAUUCUAUUGGCGCAUGGUGAUUUUACAGAACAGGUAACGGUAAUUAACAGUUCCGAUGGGUCCGUGGUCAGCCUAGGUAGGGUGAUCGCUAAGUAUUCGAAAAUGGCGUCUA